ACAAAAAGAGUGGAGGGCGGAGGGCAGAAGGGACCGGGGAAGGGGCGAGGCCUGGAAGAAUAGAGGCAGAGCGGGAGUGGCCGAUCUUGGGGGAUCCCGCCUCCUCGCGACUCGGCCCCCAGGUCACAUCCCUCCGUCGCUGCCCGCCCCACCCACUCACCGUGGGGCUCCCGUGCGGCAGGUACACUGGGUAGUCGCGAGCGGUCUGCGGCGGCAGAGACCCCACCAGCCAGGGGAGCAGCACGGCCUCGGGCGUCCCCAGCCGCCACCAACCCUCUGUUGCUGCCACCACCCGGCCCGACACCACCAGACUGACGAAGGCCGUGCCCACGGCCUCAGCGAACCCGGAGAGGGCUUCCUGGGUAAGGGAGGCAGGAGGACUGGGAGUCAGCAGACAGGCGUAGAGGGUGGCAGCGACUUCCCAGGUGGGCAGGGAAUGGGGAGAAACCCACAGCCAGCCCCCAGCUCACGCAGUGGCCAUGCUCCUGCGUCUCACCCUCUCUGAGCUUGAGUUCCUUCAC
rnacentral:antisense_RNA from 1 species